AAGGGUCCCAUGUUUUUUUGCUUUCCUUCUUUUUCUUCAUUUACGCUGCCCCUUCCAUCUCUUUUUUUUCUUUCUUUUCGAAACCCUAUUCAUCUCCUCGAUUCUAUCCUCUUUUUUCCAUUUACAGAAAAAAUUUAAUGAGUACACUCUCUCUUCAUUCUCAACUUAAUCCCGAUGCUUUUCCUCGCUCAAAAUUGAACCCAGAUCUGGCUCUCUGCUGGUGCCAGCUUUCGGAUGAUUCUUGCCACCUCUGUCAUCUCCUGUAGUUGUGAACCAUGAAACGCUCUCUAGGGGAGUUGCUGAGUGACGCUGACAAGGAACGAUCGAUUGUCAUUAUGAGAUCCAGCAAUAGAUUCUUUGGGAGGGAGCAGGAGCUCCCUUAGCAUUUGGGUGGGCAAGAUCAGAUGAUCUAUCGUCAGUUCCUUCUCUCUCUAGAAUUUGCACUGCGGACCGGGGGAACACGCCUGAUCUCUUUGGAAGAACCUUUUCAUUCUAUGUUCCACCAGAUCUGAUUUCAUUGUAUCUGCCCAAUGGAUCAGUACGGCUGAUCCAGCGAGGGCUCUCGGUCUAAUCCAGCGAGUGUUGAGCUUAUUGAAUCAAAUGUCUUUUUGUUUGAUGGGUUUUUCUUUGAAUUACUAUUCUUUUUAAUCAAUUGAAAUAUGAGAUUCAUAUAUUCGCAGUGGUCUAAUGAUUCCGUGAUAUGUGAAUGUUUCAGGCUGUUGGUGCUGUUGCUAGGGCUAGAGAAUGGGAGUAUCUGGAGCCAAUUGGCUAGCCUUUGUGCCAGUAUAUUACAUGAAGACAUGGUCAUGCAAAUUUGAUUCUUCCUUCAAGUACAGGCAUCCUAGGCAGGCUGGAGGCUCUGCUACCCCUACACUAAAUUAUAAAGAUGGAGGAGAUGGAGAAGAUGAGUCUUAUAUCUCCUUGUAAUUACGGUGUUUUUGUCUCUUUCAUUUGAUGAAGAUCUUGGGAUGUUUGAGAAGAAAGGCGAUGCUCAGAAAUUUAAAAACAAGAAAAAUAAUAAGAGAAUAAAUAUGGAGACAUCAAAUCAGUUCCUAGAUAAUGGCAGAAAGAGAAGUUGAAGCUAACUACAAUGCUGCAUCUUUUGCCCUAUAUGUUAUGGAGAGGAGACAUAUGCAAUCUGAAACACUCUCUGUCGUGUUUGACAUGUAUUUUUGCAUUUUGAAGUGCACAAUGCAUUCUAUAGCACCGGAUAGAUCGGUACCAAAAGAUGCAGAAGUCAAUGGCAAAAAUGCCAAUGGAUGAAAACAAGAUCGGUAUCACAAGUUAGGGAAAGUAUAUUACAUACAUGAAGACAGGGUCAUGCAAUGUUGGUUCUUCCUUCAAGAACAGCAAUCCUAGGUAGGUUGGAGGCUCUGCUACCCGUGUCACUAAAUUAUAAGCAUGGUCGUGUUGUCUCCAAUGGUGAGGGGUUUAGUCACAGUGAAGUCUGAUACAAAUGUUUACUCACCUGAACAGAUCCACCAUCCAAUGGAGGUAUGGAGACUUAAAGUUAGGGUACUAAGGACUUGGAUUAUUCCUUCAUUUGGGAAUCAUGAUGUUGCAAAUUCAAUGGAAGUUGUUCAUGUUGAUGCAGAUGUUGAUAAUACCCUGUGCUCUGUUUGGGGAGUAUGUGGAUGAAGUGCAUCAUUUCUUAGGUUCUGGUUAUAUGGAGCAACCAAUUGUUGUGAUCCAACUUACCAAAGUUAAAUUCUUUAAGGGACAAGUUGGUCUUUAAAAUGUUAUGCAUGCUACUCGCCUGUUCUUUAAUCCUGAUUUGGCUGAAGUUGUUGAUUUCAAAAACAGUAUGGUUGAUCAAGGUAUCAAUGGAGCACAAUCAUUGUUUAUUGCUAAUGAGGGCAAAGGUGUUUCAUUGGAAGAUGAUUUUAUGCGACUUACUAGGAGAUGCACUAUUGAAGAACUUCAUGAUAACAACGAGGUUUAUUAAGGAAGUCUUUUGUGGUUUUUGGUAUUGUGAGAUCUAUUAUGGAUGAAAGACCUUGGUGGUAUUCAGCUUGUGUUUGUGGAAAGUCAAUUCAGCCUCAAGGUGGUGCAUAUUAUUGUGAUUUUUGUCAACACUAUGUUACCAAUGUGACUCCUAGAUAUUGGAUCAAAAUAGCUGUUGAGGAUGAUAACGGACAUGGUGUAUUUGUCUUGUUCAAUCAUGAGGCUGCUUAUUUAUUGAAAAAAUCAUGUGCUAAUCUAUUUGGAGAGGUUCAAAAGGAUGCAAGUGUAUGGUUUAUGCUGUUUUUUCUUGUUGAAUUUAGUAAUGGAUAAGGUCUGUUUGUGUCAUGUAUAAUUGUAUCUUUACUGUGUUUCAGUGUGUCAUUGGUCCUUGAUUUUUCUAAGAACUAUGUGUUCAAAUUAUUUCAUAGGUUGUUUGUGGAGAUAGUUAUCAUGUGAUGUUCUAACAAUUGUUGGGGAAAAAUUGCUUCUUAAGAUAGAUACCAAGAGUGUUUGUGCUGAUAUAUAUUUCAGAACUUUCCGUGUGAGAAGAGUUUCCAAUGAUGUUGCUAUUAUUGCCAUGUUGGAGUUGCCUAACUAUGAUGCUCAUGAUGAGCGUACUCCAGUCAAUGUUGCCUCUUCAAACUCUUA